GCUGGCGUGGCUUAGUUGGUAAAGCGUCAGUCUCAUAAUCUGAAGAUCAUGAGUUCGAGCCUCAUCGCGAGCA